rnacentral:tRNA from 1 species
AAAAUCCGCGACUUUCAAAAUCGUGAGGGUUCAAGUCCCUCUAUCCCCA